rnacentral:rRNA from 1 species
GACGUAGGGUGCGAGCGUUGUCCGGAUUUAUUGGGCGUAAAGAGCUCGUAGUCGGCUCGUCGCGUCAGCUGUGAAAACCUGCAGCUUAACUGUGGGCUUGCAGCUGAUACGGGCGGGCUAGAGUUCGGUAGGGGAGACUGGAAUUCCUGGUGUAGCGGUGAAAUGCGCAGAUAUCAGGAGGAACACCGGUGGCGAAGGCGGGUCUCUGGGCCGAUACUGACGCUGAGGAGCGAAAGCGUGGGGAGCGAACAGG